GACGAACGCUUGCGGCGUGCCUAAUACAUGCAAGUCGAGCGGAACGGCGGACGGGUGAGUAAUGCCUAGGAAUCUGCCUGGUAGUGGGGGAUAACGUCCGGAAACGGGCGCUAAUACCGCAUACUAUCAGAUGAGCCUAGGUCGGAUUAGCUAGUUGGUGGGGUAAAGGCCUACCAAGGCGACGAUCCGUAACUGGUCUGAGAGGAUGAUCAGUCACACUGGAACUGAGACACGGUCCAGACUCCUACGGGAGGCAGCAGUGGGGAAUAUUGGACAAGGGGCGAAAGCCUGAUCCAGCCAUGCCGCGUGUGUGAAGAAGGUCUUCGGAUUGUAAAGCACUUUAAGUUGGGAGGCGUUACCAACAGAAUAAGCACCGGCUAACUUCGUGCCAGCCGCCGCGGUAAUUC
rnacentral:rRNA from 1 species